rnacentral:misc_RNA from 1 species
UCCCCGUUAGCCGGGGCAGUCUCGCUUGAAAAAUACAACAAACGAUAAGGGUUGCGCUCGUUGCGGGACUUAACCCAACAUCUCACGACACGAGCUGACGACGGCCAUGCAGCACCUGUCACUAGGCUCCCGAAGGCACUCCCCUAUUUCUAGGGGAUUCCUAGGAUGUCAAGCCUCGGUAAGGUUCUUCGCGUAGCUUCGAAUUAAACCACAUGCUCCACCGCUUGUGCGGGUCCCCGUCAAUUCCUUUGAGUUUUAGCCUUGCGGCCGUACUCCCCAGGCGGGAUGCUUAACGCGUUAGCUUCUUAGCACAAAGGGUCGAUACUUCAUACUAAUAGCAUCCAUCGUUUACGGCGUGGACUAC